CCAACAUGGCGGGUGAGUCCACGCUCCCUCAGUGUCGCCGGGGAAGCUCAGGGGAUAGGCUGCCACAAUGCCUUCGCUCGCGGCUGAUGGUGUAUCUGGCAUAGCUAAAAGCUCCCUCCAGCACUAUGUUAUUGAUAGUAAUGAAGCUCUGGAAUUUAAGCUAGUGCGGGCAGCAGCUGACCUCGAAGAUGAGGAGACUACAUUCAAACCUGGCAUGUCUCAUCAGGUUUACGGUGACAG